CCUACGGGUGGCAGCAGUGAGGAAUAUUGGUCAAUGGACGCAAGCCUGAACCAGCCAUGCCGCGUGCAGGAAGACGGCUCUAUGAGUUGUAAACUGCUUUUGUACGGGGGUAAACGCAGAUACGCGUAUCUGUCUGAAAGUAUCGUACGAAUAAGGAUCGGCUAACUCCGUGCCAGCAGCCGCGGUAAUACGGAGGAUUCAAGCGUUAUCCGGAUUUAUUGGGUUUAAAGGGUGCGUAGGCGGUCGGGUAAGUUAGAGGUGAAAUCCCGAGGCUCAACUUCGGAAUUGCCUCUGAUACUGUUCGGCUAGAGUGUAGUUGAGGUAGGCGGAAUGUAUGGUGUAGCGGUGAAAUGCUUAGAGAUCAUACAGAACACCGAUUGCGAAGGCAGCUUACCAGGCUACAUCUGACGUUGAGGCACGAAAGCGUGGGGAGCAAACAGGAUUAGAUACCCGGGUAGUC
rnacentral:rRNA from 1 species